GUGAACGCUGGCGGUCGGCCUCACACAUGCCAGUCGAACGGCAGCACAGUAAGAGCUUGCUCUUACGGGUGGCGAGUGGCGGACGGGUGAGGAAUACAUCGGAAUCUACUUUUUCGUGGGGGAUAACGUAGGGAAACUUACGCUAAUACCGCAUACGACCUACGGGUGAAAGCAGGGGAUCUUCGGACCUUGCGCGAUUGAAUGAGCCGAUGUCGGAUUAGCUAGUUGGCGGGGUAAAGGCCCACCAAGGCGACGAUCCGUAGCUGGUCUGAGAGGAUGAUCAGCCACACUGGAACUGAGACACGGUCCAGACUCCUACGGGAGGCAGCAGUGGGGAAUAUUGGACAAUGGGCGCAAGCCUGAUCCAGCCAUACCGCGUGGGUGAAGAAGGCCUUCGGGUUGUAAAGCCCUUUUGUUGGGAAAGAAAAGCAGCAGGUUAAUACCCCGCUGUUCUGACGGUACCCAAAGAAUAAGCACCGGCUAACUUCGUG
rnacentral:rRNA from 1 species